UACGUAGGGUGCGAGCGUUAAUCGGAAUUACUGGGCGUAAAGCGUGCGCAGGCGGUUCGUCGUGUCCGAUGUGAAAGCCCCGGGCUCAACCUGGGAAUGGCAUUGGAAACUGGCGGACUCGAGUGUGGCAGAGGGGGGUGGAAUUCCGCGUGUAGCAGUGAAAUGCGUAGAGAUCCGGAAGAACACCGGUGGCGAAGGCGGCCUGCUGGGCAGUUGCUGACACUGAGGCGCGACAGCGUGGGGAGCAAACAGG
rnacentral:rRNA from 1 species